CGACCUUUCGUAAUUGAAGUGGAGGUGCUUGCACCAAAGCGGAUUUUGCAUUCGGGUUAGCGGCAAACGGGUGAGUAACACGUAAAUAAUCUUCCUCAAAGUCGGACAUAGUGUCGUGAAAACGGCGGUAAUUUCCGAUGUGGACAUGGGAUCGCAUGGUUCUAUGUUUAAAGGCGGGGACCUUCGGGCCUGCCGCUUUGAGAUGAGUUUGCGUCCUAUCAGCUUGUUGGUGAGGUAACGGCUCACCAAGGCUUUUGACGGGUAGCUGGUCUGAGAGGAUGGUCAGCCACACUGGGACUGAGACACUGCCCAGACUCCUACGGGAGGCUGCAGUCGAGAAUCUUUCACAAUGGGGGAAACCCUGAUGAUGCGACGCCGCGUGCAGGAUGAAGGCCUUCGGGUUGUAAACUGCUUUUGUUAGGAAAGAAACCUAUAUGGUUAAUACCCAUAUAGCUGACGGUACCUAAAGAAUAAGCCACGGCCAACUCCGUGCCAGCAACCGCGGUAAUACGGAGGUGGCAAGCGUUACUCGGAAUUAUUGGGUGUAAAGGGCAAGUAGGCGGUCUAAUAAGCGAGGGGUGAAAUCUACCGGCUCAAUCGGUAAACUGCCUUUCGAACUGUUAGACUUGAGGCUGAGAGAGGGAAAUGGAAUUAGCAGUGUAAGGGUGAAAUCUGUAGAUAUUGCUAAGAACACCAGCGGCGAAGGCGAUUUCCUGGCUCAGAUCUGACGCUAAAUUGCGAAAGUUAGGGUAGCAAACAGAAUUAGAUACUCUGGUAGUCCUAACUGUAAACGAUGAGUAC
rnacentral:rRNA from 1 species